GCGGGUGUAGUGUAAUGGCAGCACGCAAGACUUCAGAUCUUGAUUCGGCACAUCUCCAGUGUGCAGGCGCGGGUUCGAUUCCCGUCACCCGCUCUA
rnacentral:tRNA from 1 species